rnacentral:rRNA from 1 species
GACGAACCGUCCAAACGUUAUUCGGAAUCACUGGGCUUAAAGGGUGCGUAGGCGGCUUCGCAAGUUGGGUGUGAAAGCCCUCGGCUUAACCGAGGAAUGGCGCCCAAAACUGCGGAGCUCGAGGAAGAUAGAGGUGAGCGGAACUUAGGGUGGAGCGGUGAAAUGUGUUGAUAUCCUAAGGAACACCAGUAGCGAAAGCGGCUCACUGGGUCUUUUCUGACGCUGAGGCACGAAAGCUAGGGGAGCGAAC